GUGCUCGCCUCAGCAGCACAUAUACUAAAGAUCGUGAAUGAUACAAUAGAAGUAUUACACUGCCCCUAUGCAACGAUAACACGCAAAUUCGUAAAGUGGUCCAAAUCUUU
rnacentral:snRNA from 1 species